AAACAUGCAUUGGAAUAACAUAUUCUACCUUUUUUCUCUUUUCUUAUGUAAUGCAAAGAGAAUAAUUGAGAACAGGUGAAGAAGAUAGACAGCUACUAAAGUGGAUUAGUUUCAUUACCCCACAAAGAUGAUGAACACACACACAAAAAUGAGAUCAGAAGUCUCUAGAUAGACAUAUAUAUAUAUAUAUCUAUAUAUGCUUUACUUUUCCUUUAGUUUCUCAUAUUUAAACUACUGAUCUCCCUUACCUUCUUCUUCAAUACAACUAGAAUCUUCCCUUUCAUAAAGUUCUGUUCACAUAUCUCUCUUUGAGAAUUCCAAAAACUAAUUAAUACCCAUUGAAGAAACAAAGAUAAAGUAGAAAAAAGGAAGAAAAAAAGUACCGUAGUUUCUUGAGUUUUCUCAUAUAUUAAGUAUUGUGAUUUAAAUACCCUUGUUGUUCUUCCUCUUGAUCAUAGUCUCUUGGGUUGUAAGCUUCUGCUGGAUAGAAGAUAUGAGUGAUCCCAAAUAUGCCUAUCCCUACCCACCUCCUCAAGGAGGAUAUUAUCAAGGGCCACCAGUGAUGGCGCCACCGCAGUACGCCGCCCCACCGCCAAGACGACAACCGGGUUUCUUGGAGGGAUGCCUUGCAGCUCUAUGCUGCUGCUGUCUCCUUGAUGAAUGCUGCUGUGACCCUUCCAUUAUCUUUCUUACUUGAUGCUAUGAGAGAAUUCAUUGCCUUUGUAGCUGUAAAUUGCCUCAUCUCUUAUCUCUUUUCUUUUCUUAUUUUGUGAGUGUGGUUUUAUUUUGUGUAAACUUGGAAAGAACAUUGAUUGGUGUGCAGAAUAAAAGCUGCUUUGCUGUAAAGUAUAUUAUAUAGAGUUUGUAUAUGCUCAUUCUCGUUACCUAGCUAAUUUAGUUUUUAUACUUUAGCACACGCACGUGUUUAUCAACACUUUCUUUGGCUCGUGAGAAGUAGGAAACUAUAGAUCGAUGCUAGACAACGCUUCUUGUUGAUGAUCUAUACUUCAACAAAACUUAAGAUUUCUCGUCAUUCUUCAGUGAUUAAGAAAACUAUUUUAUCCAAUUAUUUUAAGAUGAAAUUUCAUGUUUAUAAAAAAAAUGACACAUUCAAAUAAGAUUUGUGCAGUGGUUCUCUAUAAAGAUUGAUAGGGUCGCACAAACCUAGAGGAAAAGAUUGAUAUGCAUUCGUUCAUUUUCUAGCUAUCUAGUCUCUUCGAUCAACAUUUGUCCGAUACAUAUAAGUUUAGAGAUUUAAUUAUAUGUAAAAGAAACUCAAGAUCAUCCAACUAAACUUAUAAUUUUUUCUAACAAGAAUGAGAUCAGAAGAAAAGGUUUAGAUUUAUGAAAGGAUGCAAUUGAUGUAUAUAGUUUGACAAUGUUUUUGCUCUGUUCCAAAUUCUUUUAGAAAUACACAUUCUUUCUCUAUUCUCCCAACCAACCAAAAUUUAAAUGUAUAGAACAACAAUGAACACAACUAUUAUGUACUGAUAGUAUUGAGUAGCAGCAAGAUCAGUUAGAUUUGCAAGGAAGGGUGAUAUAAUUUUCGAAUUAAAGUCUGCUAAAUGCAAUCUUAUUGAAUUAUUUAGUCAUCCUUUUCUUUUCUUAUGUAAUCUUAAAUAUAAUAAUUGAGAGCAGGUGAAGAAAACAGACACAACUACAAAAGUGGAUUAGCUUAAUCACCCCAUAAACAACAACACAAAAUGAGACAUAAUAAUCCCAAAGACUAACAACACGAGAGCGUCUAGACUCCACGACUUUCUUGAUAUGAUCUCCGUUUCCCGAGCUCUAAACAUAUCGAAACAACAAGAUAAUUGUCUUCGAUAUAUCUGUUUAUUAUAGUUUUUGACUAACAGUGGGGUUUAAUAUUUUUGUGUGGUUGCAGCAUUGCAGCUCUCUGUGCUGUUGGUUUCUUCUUUGAUCUAAGCUUUGAUUGACACUUCGUAGCUUUUCAUUAUGUAGGGGAUGGUUCGGUUUUGUGUAUAAACUUCAAAAUGAUGUAUUGAAUAACAAUGUGUUUUGUUAUAGAGUUAACUUUACGAGUCAUUUACAUAAUAAAUAAUUUAGUCUAUAAACUUUAAAA